rnacentral:rRNA from 1 species
UAGAUGAGGCGUGAUGACGAGGAUCCUCGGAUCCGAAGUGAGUGAUACCCAGCUUCCAGGAAAAGCCUCUAAGCUUCAGUCAUAGAGUGACCGUACCGCAAACCGACACAGGUGGGCUGGUAGAGAAUACCAAGGCGCUUGAGAGAACUCAGGAGAAGGAACUCGGCAAAUUGAUACCGUAACUUCGGGAGAAGGUAUGCCCCUGGUACGUGAAGGCCCUCGCGGCCGGAGCGGAACGGGGUCGCAGAGAAUCGGUGGCUGCGACUGUUUAUUAAAAACACAGCACUCUGCAAACACGAAAGUGGACGUAUAGGGUGUGACGCCUGCCCGGUGCCGGAAGGUUAAGUGAUGGGGUGCAAGCUCUUGAUCGAAGCCCCGGUAAACGGCGGCCGUAACGAUAACGGUCCUAAGGUAGCGAAAUUCCUUGUCGGGUAAGUUCCGACCUGCACGAAUGGCGUAACGAUGGCCACACUGUCUCCUCCUGAGACUCAGCGAAGUUGAAAUGUUUGUGAAGAUGCAAUCUCCCCGCGGCUAGACGGAAAGACCCCAUGAACCUUUACUGUAGCUUUGCAUUGGACUUUGACGGGACUUGUGUAGGAUAGGUGGGAGGCUAUGAAACCGGGACGCCAGUUCCGGCGGAGCCACCCUUGAAAUACCACCCUGGUGUCGUCGAGGUUCUAACCCAGGCCUGUGAAUCCAGGUCGGGGACCGUGCAUGGUGGGCAGUUUGACUGGGGCGGUCUCCUCCCAAAAGGUAACGGAGGAGUACGAAGGUCACCUAGGUACGGUCGGACAUCGUACUGAUAGUGCAAUGGCAAAAGGUGGCUUGACUGCGAGACCCACAAGUCGAGCAGGUGCGAAAGCAGGUCAUAGUGAUCCGGUGGUUCUGUAUGGAAGGGCCAUCGCUCAACGGAUAAAAGGUACUCUGGGGAUAACAGGCUGAUUCCGCCCAAGAGUUCACAUCGACGGCGGAGUUUGGCACCUCGAUGUCGGCUCAUCACAUCCUGGGGCUGUAGCCGGUCCCAAGGGUAUGGCUGUUCGCCAUUUAAAGUGGUACGUGAGCUGGGUUUAAAACGUCGUGAGACAGUUUGGUCCCUAUCUGCCGUGGGCGCUGGAAGUUUGAGAGGGCCUGCUCCUAGUACGAGAGGACCGGAGUGGACGCACCCCUGGUGUACCGGUUGUGACGCCAGUCGCAUCGCCGGGUAGCUAUGUGCGGAAGAGAUAACCGCUGAAAGCAUCUAAGCGGGAAACUCGCCUCAAGAUGAGACUUCCCCGGGGCCUCGAGCCCCCUGAAGGGUCGUUGAAGACCACAACGUUGAUAGGCCGGGUGUGUAAGCGUGGCAACACGUUCAGCUAACCGGUACUAAUUGCCCGUGUGGCUUGAUCU